rnacentral:rRNA from 1 species
UACGAACGGGGCCAGCGUUGUCCGGAAUUACUGGGCGUAAAGCGCAUGUAGGCGGAUCUAUAAGUCAGAGGUGAAAUCCCCGGGCUCAACCCUGGAAUUGCCUUUGAUACUGUAGAUCUGGAGUCUGGGAGAGGUGAGUGGAAUUCCGAGUGUAGAGGUGAAAUUCGUAGAUAUUCGGAGGAACACCAGUGGCGAAGGCGGCUCACUGGCCCGAGACUGACGCUGAGAUGCGAAAGCGUGGGGAGCAAACAGG